rnacentral:lncRNA from 1 species
CCUCCCUCCCAGGGCUUCCUCCCCCAGGAGGGAUAGCAGGAAGGCAGGCAAGGACAGGACCUGAGUCCACACCUCGUCCGCGGUCACCUGCCUGACCAGGAGGAAGGGGAGGGGACAGGAGUGAUUCCACGGAGGUCACCUGGGAGCUGGGGCUGGGCGACCCCAGGGCUGGAUGACCUCAGGGCUGGGUGACCUCAGGGCUGGGUGAUCUCAGGGCUGGGUGACUUCAAGGCUGGGUGACCUCAGGGCUGGAUGACCUCAGGGCUGGGUGACCCCAGGGCUGACUAUUGGCGGAGCACCUGGGGUGGGUGCCAUGGGCACCUGAGAGGGAACUUUGACCUGAGCGGAGGUCAGAACCCUCCUCUGAGGAAGUGCCCCACCCCACUGAGCUCCCAGAGGCUGGUGGCAGGUUGAACAGGGGACUAUGCCAGCAGAGGGACUGCCUUCCAGAGACUUUGGAUCAUCACCACGAUGGGUUGAUUUUACAAAUUUAGCCACUGUCACCGGAGGCCUGGCUGAACUUCAGAGUUUCUUCUCCAGCGUCGGUUUCUUGAUUGCCUAAAGUUCCUUCCAGUCUAAUACUCUGGGAUUCUGGGCCAGUUUCUGGUCUGUCACAGCUGAAUAAGAGUGCAAGGGCAGGAGUGGAAUGUUCAGACUGCUCCAAGAGGACCUUGGCCCAGAUUCGGGCACACUCUGGUGUAACCUGCUUCGCUCGUUCGCGGGAUGGGUGGUGAGCAUGGAGCCCAUUUUCCCAUGUGGCAUUUCAGCAACAGGACUUGGCUAUUUGAAACUCCCCAGACAUAGCAGGAUUUAAAAAACGGAUCCCCUCUGGCUGGGCAUUUAGGUUGCUUUCACUUCUGGGCUGCUAUAAACAGCCUGCAGUUACUGCCUCAGGACGCCUUUCUGGAAGAUUCUUCUGCAGCACACACACUGCCUCCUCUGAAGUGUCCUGGCUGCAUGUGCUGCUCUCCUUGCCCUGGGCUGCCCUCUUCUCCCUGGUGUCAUGAGUAUCUGCUGACCUUCUGCUUCUCCCAUGACAGAGUGCCUUCCUUCUCUUCCUUCUCUGCCUUGGCCUCCAGCACGUAGUAGGCGCCUAGGAAAUGUUUUCCAGCAGAACGAGCCAUCUCCUGGCUGGUUUAGCAGUGUGGGAUUGUGUGGUGUUUCUAUUAGUCUCCAUGAACAAGUGCCACUGUGUUAUUAAAUUUUUC